rnacentral:tRNA from 1 species
GGGGAUAUAGCUCAGUUGGUAGAGGGCCUCACAUGUACAAGGCCCUGGGUUCAAUCCCCAGUACCACCA